GUCAUGAUUGUCUCUGUUUUACCUGGGGCCUGAUACAUCUGAGGCUAGAGGCGGAGCUGAAGAGCUCAGAUUUCCUGUGCUACCAAAAUUUGCUGGAGUUGUUACAACAAAGUUAUGUUCUAUGUUGAGGUCUGCAGUCAUGGGUGAUGAGAUGGAUGCUCUCUUCUGACUGGGAAGUGUCGAGGUUCUUUCUUCCACUGAUGAUUUCCAUGACCACGACGCCAAAGCUGUAGAUAUCUGCCUUUUCCGUGAUCUGUGAUGUCAACCAUUCAGGAGCUAAAUAUCCAGUAACGGUCAAGAGUGAAGAUCACUUUUUUCAAGAAGUAGCUGGUUGGUGAGGGCAAGCUAAGGCCCUGUUUGGUUCAGCUUUUAUCGAUGGAUUCCGCUGCCACGCAGCAGAAUCUGAACAAAAGGGCGGACCCAGCAGAAUCCGAUUUCAGAAAUCCGCUGCCAAAAUCUGAACCAAAAGCGGAAGCAACCCAGGACGUGCUUUCCAAAAUCUGAUUCCACCGCGGGCCAAAAUCUGAAAAAGCUGUAUCAGCUGGUUUGCCAAAUGACCUACAUCUUUUUCACAUCAGAUUUUUCACAGCUGUUUUUCCACAGCUUAUUUUUCACAGCUGCUUUUAGAAAUCCACAGCUGAACCAAACAGGGCCUAAAGCUGAAGCUGCGGUGGGCAGCUGCCUGGAAGCAGCUGGAUGCCUUGUUGACUGGCCGUCAACCAUAUUGGAGCCUUGUCUCACUGACCACAUAACUCUAUCAGGUUUGCUUGCUGGCGAGGGUGGCCGAAACCUUAUGUUCUUUGUGGACAUCUGUAUUAACUAGCGGGAGGUAAUUCUUGCAAAUUUUUUGUACAUUUUGCAGCGCCAAAUCUGAGGUUUCGACUUAUGGUGAGUGUUUUUUUUUACAGUUUUGCUAAAGCACAUCUAGAUGUGCCAUAAGUAUUGCACAUCUAAAUCCUAUGUCAUUGAUCUUACAUGAAGAUUCGUAUGAGUAUUUUCUUUUUCUUUUUCUUUUUCUUUUUUGAUGCUUAAUUGAGUCACUUAUAUGUGCAAUAACUAGGGCACAUCUAGAUGUGCCCUAGACAGUCCCUUUUUUGUAUGUGUACUUGACAGAAUUGUGGUUGGCUAGAAUUGUGGUUGGCUGCUUGACCUUGGAGCAUCACCAAUUGCGAAAAGAAAUAUUGAAAAGAAAACUUGUGAAAAAUUCUAAUGAAAAUAAAUUUGCCAUCGGAUGCUCAAAUAAUUUUUUAUGAUAUACCAAAAAGAAUUUACCAUGCUUUGUUCAACAAAUUGCCAUGUUUUGAAAAAUAAUUUUGAAAACAGAAUUUAUGAUGUUGUAUGCAUUAAAAGUUGCCUCAGUUUGUACAAAACAUAUUCGCCAUGCUCCAAACAAUAAUUUUGGCAUUGUUUACUUUUCUGCCAUGGUCCCAGAAUGUAUCAUGGUCUAAAAUAUAAUUCCAUGUUUUAAACAAUAACUUUUGCCAUGGUUUGAACAAUAAAUUUGCCACGGUCGAAAAAAAUAUCAUGGUCUAAAAUAUAAAGUUUCCAUGUUUUAAAAAAUUACUUUCGCCAUGGUUUGAAAAAUAAAUUUGCCAUGGUCUAAAAUAUAAAUUUUCCAUGUUUAAAUUUUUUACUUUUGCCAUGAUUUGAACAAUAAAUUUGCCAUGGUCCAAAGCAUAAAUUUGUCACGGUUCAAAAAAUAAAUUUGGCAUGGUUGAAGAAAUAAAUUUGGCAUGGUAUAAAUUAUAAAUUUUUCAUUGUCCAAAAAAUAACUUUUCCAUGAAUCAAACAAUAACUUUUCUAUGGUUCAAAAAAAAUUAAAAAAAUCUAUGAUUCAAACUAAAAAUUUGCCAUGGUCCAUAAAAGUAAAAUUUACCAAAUGGUCUAAAAAGAAAAUUAUGAAUGUUGAUUAAUUACAUGAUAAAUCUAACAAUAUUGAUUUGGUACUAUGAAUGCUGAUGACUUUUCUUAUAAACUUAGUCAAAACUUUACAACGUGGCAGACAAAUCUUAACAACAUGGUACCAUGCUUUUUACAGUUAAUUUAACAACAUGGUACCAGCUUUUUUACUGUUAAAAAUGCCUGAACUGGUAUUAUGUCAACGGCUAUCUAUUACGAGGAUGUGGAGCAAACAAGCAUUAUAGGCAAACAAACUGUAAUAUUAGGUCAAUCGAAAGCCCACCUGGACAUGAUAGGGCCCGACAACACGGCGCGUACUGAUACGGUCCAACGUAUUCGUGGCCCAGACCGACCAGAGAGAAAAUCGGCCGGGCCCGUCCCCUUCCUCCGCCGCCCCCGCCGCAGUGCCCGGCGGAUGCUGCCGCUCCGGUGGACCAUAUCCCCACUUCUGAUGGAUUCCGGUCGUCCCUGCGCUCUUGUGGCAGGCCGCCGCUCUUCUGUACCAGCACCCCCUCCCCCCUGCCGGUCUCCGGUAUCGAUAGGUUUGAUUCGCAGGUACUCCAAUCAACUAUAGAUUUGUGGAUCCUCCCACCAAUCAGUUCUACUCGUGCAAGGAUUCUGAGCGCUGGGCGGCGAGGCGAAGCGCUUGAGCCUACUGAGCUCAGAGGAAUAAUCCAGAGGGGACGCACCAUUGGCAUGGUGUUCAUUCCUGGUCUAAUCUGAUGUAUAUGCUCAUGCCGCGACAGCCAGAUCACCUGCAGCACUGGACCCUGGAGGGGCGCUGGGGCAGCAACGCGAAGGCUAUAAUCUGGGGUCAAGAUCACUAUGGAACAGGAUCAUGGGGGCCGGCGAGCGGAGCUGGUCAGCGGCAGCGGCAGCGGCAGCUGCGCUGAAGCAGCUCGAGGAUUGGAGGUCAACAAUGGCGGCAACUGUGAGGGGGGACAGGAUGUCUCGUGCAUUACUUUUGUGGUUGGGGUGUACAGUAGUCAUUUCAUUUUCAAUCCAGCUAUCUCGACUACAAGUUGUCAAGUAAGCCAAGCUUUUUGGAAGUGAAAAGAUUUGGAGGAAUAGAGGAGCUCAUCAAGGCCACAAAAGAAAGCAUGUUGUAGAUCACCAUUCAGCAGCCCAUUCGUUGAGGAUAAUUACUAAUUAGUCUCUCUUUGUGGCUA